rnacentral:rRNA from 1 species
GACGAACGCUGGCGGCGUGCCUAAUACAUGCAAGUAGAACGCUGAAGGAGGAGCUUGCUUCUCUGGAUGAGUUGCGAACGGGUGAGUAACGCGUAGGUAACCUGCCUGGUAGCGGGGGAUAACUAUUGGAAACGAUAGCUAAUACCGCAUAAGAGUAGAUGUUGCAUGACAUUUGCUUAAAAGGUGCAAUUGCAUCACUACCAGAUGGACCUGCGUUGUAUUAGCUAGUUGGUGAGGUAACGGCUCACCAAGGCAACGAUACAUAGCCGACCUGAGAGGGUGAUCGGCCACACUGGGACUGAGACACGGCCCAGACUCCUACGGGAGGCAGCAGUAGGGAAUCUUCGGCAAUGGACGGAAGUCUGACCGAGCAACGCCGCGUGAGUGAAGAAGGUUUUCGGAUCGUAAAGCUCUGUUGUAAGAGAAGAACGAGUGUGAGAGUGGAAAGUUCACACUGAGACGGUAUCUACCAGAA